UACAGGUGGUUGUGAGCUACCAUGUGGUUGCUGGGAUUUGAACUGGGGACCUCUGGAAGUGCUCUUAACUGCUGAGCC
ensembl:miRNA